rnacentral:rRNA from 1 species
UACGUAGGGUGCAAGCGUUAAUCGGAAUUACUGGGCGUAAAGCGUGCGCAGGCGGUUCUGUAAGACAGAUGUGAAAUGCCCGGGCUUAACCUGGGAACUGCAUUUGUGACUGCAAAGCUAGAGUGUGUCAGAGGGGGGUAGAAUUCCACGUGUAGCAGUGAAAUGCGUAGAUAUGUGGAGGAAUACCGAUGGCGAAGGCAGCCCCCCUGGGGAUAACACUGACGCUCAUGCAC